rnacentral:lncRNA from 1 species
AGGUAUGUUCCUGGCAGAAAAGUUGCAUAACUUGGGGGUUAAAGACAGGAAUAUGGCACAAUGCCCAUUGUGGGCAGUGUCCAGACAGAAGAAGAGACUCAUAUCACCUAAAUGACAAACCCAGAAUAUGUCACAAUGUAUCCUGUUGAAAGGACCAGGACAAUGGAAGAAGAGUCAAAUCACCAGGAUGCCGAUUUUAGUGAUUUAUCAAGAUUCCCCCUGUUAACAGGGAUUAGGAAGGAGAGUUGCCUGCAUUCAUCUGUGAUGAUGAAAGUCCUUACUGUCAGCCAAGUGUGCAUAUGAGACUCACAAUUUCCUCUGUUUGCUAACCACUAUUAUGACACUCUCUAUUCAACCCAACGGUUUUAUAAAACAUUUGUCAUUGUUAUAAA